rnacentral:lncRNA from 1 species
GGCGCUCUUCCGAUCUGCGGUUUCGGUUUGUGCCCACAUUUUUUGACGGGAUUUGAAUGGCGCAGGCUCCCUUUCCAGACGCCUCACCCCUGACAGUAGCCGAGUGUCGGGCCGGGGUGCGCUUGUGCCCAUUUUGUAAAACCGGUGGGUGUCCGGCGGCACGUAUAUUCGAACCCACGACCUCCCGCAGCCGAAGCGGACACUCAACCACGAGGCCACGGCUGC